CUUUGUCAAGUGUUUCUUCGAUAUGAUACAUUUACAUUACAAGAUAUGCUCAUGUUAGAUCUACAAACAUGUUUAACCCUUUGAUGCGCAACAUAUCCACACCCCCUCUAAUGCGCAACAUGGGUCUAAAAAGACCCGCAUUCAUUUCCAAUGGUAUUUCAUGCUGGCUGAGUUUUUCUUUGUUCUAUCUUUUGAAAUCAGUUUAUUUUCUGAUUGAAUAUUCCAAGUAUUCUUUAAAUAUCUUGUUUUUGAUCACCACUGAUCAUUAUUUCUAUUUUUCUUUUCAUACUUUAUGAAAUAAUAUAGUUUCUAUAUUAUUACAUCAAGUUUACACACAUGGGUCAAAAAUGACCCAUUCAUCCAAGUGUGAUUUAAUAUUGAAUUACCUAACACUAUAAUAAUAAUUUGUUUCAAGUAAUGAAGUUAACAGUGAGUGGGACCAAACCAUAGACUGUAUAUACUAUGGACAACUUGGUUCCACCUCCCGCCUGUAUACGGAUUUGGAGCCAAAAAGCUCUCGGUAUAUCCGGGAUUUUUCUACAUUUCUGAAACCAGCACUGCGCAGCAGCAAUGCGCGCAUUCGGCCGCGCAGUCGCCGAGAGUCACUGUGAUGACGCUCAGCUCAAACAGCGUAUCCCCCGGGAGAGCUACGCAAUCCCUGAACGCCCAUGGGCUGUAUCCAUAGACUGUAUAUACUAUGGACAACUUGGUUCCGCCUACCGCCUGUAUAUGGAUUUGAAGCCAAAUAGCUCUCGAUAUUUCCAGGAUUUUUCUUCAUUUCCUGAAACCAGUGCUGCGCAGUAGCAAUGCGUGCAUUCAACCGCGCAGUUGAAGAGAGUCGCUGUGAUGACGCUCGGCUCAAACAGCAUAUCCCCUGGGAGAGCUACGCAAUCCCUGAACGCUCAUAGGCUGUAUCAGGUGUCAAUCAUAGCAAACAUGAACCCCUAAUAACUUUUAAAAAUGGAGCUUCACAGAAAAAAGAGGACUUGAGCACAAACCAGUUUUACUGUAACUACAUGUCGACAUCACAAUCAGGAGGGAGAAAAAUUUAUGUUCUGUGUAAUUAAUUUCUAAAUUUUGUCCACUGCCCUAUAAGCUUUGCUGGCGGAGACGGGAUUUAUGACCUAUACUGCAGCCCAUCAACAGAGGGUGCUGUUCUCGAAGUGGCUUCACCCAGCGAGGAGGCAGACUCUGUCCAUUCUAUAUACAGUCUAUGGCAGGUGUCAAUCAUAGAAAACAUGAACCCCUAAUAACUUUUAAAAACGGAGCUGUACAGAAAAAAGAGGACUUGAGCACAAACCAGUCCUACAAUAACUACAUGUCGACAUCACAAGCAGGGGGGGAAAAAAUUCAUGUACUGUGUAAUAAAUUUCUAAAGUUUGUCCACAGCUCCAUAAGCUUUGCUGGAGGAGGCGGGAUUUAUGACCUAUACUGCAGCCUGUAAACAGGGGGUGCUGUUCUCGGAGUGGUUUCACCCAGCAAGGAGGCAGACGCUGUCCAUUCUAUAUACAGUCUAUGGGCCAAACACUUAUGUAUUUUGUAUCAGCAACAUGUUUAUUUGUCAUUUUGUCACAUACACAUGCGUCUGAUUAUAGCUAGCUGAAAUAACGCUAGCUGUUUUACCUGUAACUUUGUAACUUUCCAACAUGUAAUGUCCUCACUUUCAAGGUAAUCUAAACCUAAUCAAAUCUAUGUACAAUUAUCUUUCACAAUUGUCAUCAAAUAAUUUCUAAGAUAAUGUCAGAACAAUUGAAAAACCAUACUUACAUGUGUUAGACGGUCUUUUCAUGCUAAAUGCUACAGUCACUAUAUGUGGGUCGUUUCUGACCCAUGUAUGUAAACUUGAUGUAGAAAUACAAAAGCUGUGCUUCCUCAUAACAUAAGAAAGGAAAAAUAAAAAUGAUUAUUUGUGCUCAACUAAAACAAGAUCUUUACUGCAUACUUGGAAUAGUUAAUGAUAAAAUUAAUUUAUUUCAAAGAUAUACCAUAGAAACACUCAGCCAUACAUGAAAUAACAUUGAAAAUGGAUACGGGUCAUUUUAGACCCAUGUUGUGCAUUAGAGGGGUAGUGAUACAAAAACGGUUUUUAUUCUAAAAGUAAAAAAAGAAAAAUUAACAUAAGGAUGUAGGGUCAUCAAAAACAAGUUUAUUGAGGAAUUCCUUGAGUACCGACUGAUGGAAUUAAUUUAUUGAAAAGAUAUAUGAAAUUUAAACUCAGCCGGGUCUUUUUUGACCCAUGUUGCGCAUCAAAGGGUUAAAAAGGACAUUUUAUAUCCAAUAAGAUAAGGUUUAACCAAUGCACUGCAAACAGUAUCCGCUUUUUAAAGAUAUGUAUCUUCAAUCAUGAAAAAUUAAUACAUUUAAAGCAAAUGAUGAUAUACUGUUAAUUUAAUACACACUAUAGAUCGACAUUUUUAUUGAAAAGACUAAAAUCAAAGACUACAAGUGAUGCACUGAAGUGAGCGGGCAUCUUUCAGUGUUUUCAGUGGUUUGAUGCUUGUAAGGAUUGCUGACAAAGUCAUGUACCAGAUAUGCCACUGUGCACCAGAUCAGCCAAUAGAAAAAAAUCAAUGUAGUAGUG